rnacentral:lncRNA from 1 species
GCUCGACCGCGCGAAGGCGAGCAGAAUCCCAAGCAUUGAAGAAUUUUCUAAGGCAUGCAAAGGCUCACCAAGUCUCAAAGCCUGUUUAUGGCGAGACCAGAAGCCAAGCGUGCCAGGAUCUGCUCGACCGCGCGAAGGCGAGCAGAAUCCCAAGCAUUGAAGAAUUUUCUAAGGCAUGCAAAGGCUCACCAAGUCUCAAAGCCUGUUUAUGGCGAGACCAGAUGCCAAGCGUGCCAGAAUCUGCUCGACCGCGCGAAGGCGAGCAGAAUCCCAAGCAUUGAAGAAUUUUCUAAGGCAUGCAAAGGCUCACGAAGUCUCGAAGCCUGUUUAUGGCGAGACCAGAAGCCAAGCGUGCCAGGAUCUGCUCGACCACGCGAAGGCGAGCAGAAUCCCAAGCAUUGAAGAAUUUUCUAAGGCAUGCAAAGGCUCAUCAAGUCUCAAAGCCUGUUUAUGGCGAGACCAGAUGCCAAGCGUGCCAGAAUCUGCUCGACCGCGCGAAGGCGAGCAGAAUCCCAAGCAUUGAAGAAUUUUCUAAGGCAUGCAAAGGCUCAUCAAGUCUCAAAGCCUGUUUAUGGCGAGACCAGAUGCCAAGCGUGCCAGAAUCUGCUCGACCGCGCGAAGGCGAGCAGAAUCCCAAGCAUUGAAGAAUUUUCUAAGGCAUGCAAAGGCUCAUCAAGUCUCAAAGCCUGUUUAUGGCGAGACCAGAAGCCAAGCGUGCCAGGAUCCGCUCGACCGCGCGAAGGCGAGCUGAAUCCCAAGCAUUGAAGAAGUUUCUAAGGCAUGCAAAGGCUCAUCAAGUCUCAAAGCCUGUUUAUGGCGAGACCAGAAGCCAAGCGUGCCAGGUUCUGCUCGACCGCGCGAAGGCGAGCUGAAUCCCAAGCAUUGAAGAAUUUUCUAAGGCAUGCAAAGGCUCACGAAGUCUCAAAGCCUGUUUAUGGCGAGACCAGAAGCCAAGCGUGCCAGGAUCUGCUCGACCGCGCGAAGGCGAGCAGAAUACCAACCAUUGAAGAAUUUUCUAAGGCAUUCAAAGGCUCAUCAAGUUUCAAAGCCUGUUUAUGGCGACACCAGAUGCCAAGAGUGCCAGGAUCUGCUCGACCGCGCGAAGGCGAGCUGAAUCCCAAGCAUUGAAGAAUUUUCUAAGGCAUGCAAAGGCUCACGAAGUCUCAAAGCCUGUUUAUGGCGAGACCAGAAGCCAAGCGUGCCAGGAUCUGCUCGACCGCGAGAAGGCGAGCAAAAUCCCAAGCAUUGAAGAAUUUUCUACGUCAUGCAAAGGCUCACAAAGUCUCAAAGCCUGUUUAUGGCGAGACCAGAAGCCAAGCGUACCAGGAUCAGCUCGACCGCACGAAGGCGAGCAGAAUCCCAAGCAUUGAAGAAUUUUCUAAGGCAUGCAAAGGCUCAUCAAGUCUCAAAGCCUGUUUAUGGCGAGACCAGAUGCCAAGCGGGCCAGAAUCUGCUCGACCGCGCGAAGGCGAGCAGAAUCCCAAGCAUUGAAGAAUUUUCUACGUCAUGCAAAGGCUCACAAAGUCUCAAAGCCUGUUUAUGGCGAGACCAGAAGCCAAGCGUGCCAGGAUCUGCUCGACCGCACGAAGGCGAGCAGAAUCCCAAGCAUUGAAGAAUUUUCUAAGGCAUGCAAAGGCUCAUCAAGUCUCAAAGCCUGUUUAUGGCGAGACCAGAUGCCAAGCGUGCCAGAAUCUGCUCGACCGCGCGAAGGCGAGCAGAAUCCCAAGCAUUGAGGAAUUUUCUAAGGCAUGCAAAGGCUCACGAAGUCUCGAAGCCUGUUUAUGGCGAGACCAGAAGCCAAGCGUGCCAGGAUCUGCUCGACCACGCGAAGGCGAGCAGAAUCCCAAGCAUUGAAGAAUUUUCUAAGGCAUGCAAAGGCUCAUCAAGUCUCAAAGCCUGUUUAUGGCGAGACCAGAAGCCAAGCGUGCCAGAAUCUGCUCGACCGCGCGAAGGCGAGCAGAAUCCCAAGCAUUGAAGAAUUUUCUAAGGCAUGCAAAGGCUCAUCAAGUCUCAAAGCCUGUUUAUGGCGAGACCAGAAGCCAAGCGUGCCAGGAUCUGCUCGACCGCGCGAAGGCGAGCAGAAUCCCAAGCAUUGAAGAAUUUUCUAAGGCAUGCAAAGGCUCAUCAAGUCUCAAAGCCUGUUUAUGGCGAGACCAGAAGCCAAGCGUGCCAGGAUCCGCUCGACCGCGCGAAGGCGAGCAGAAUACCAACCAUUGAAGAAUUUUCUAAGGCAUUCAAAGGCUCAUCAAGUUUCAAAGCCUGUUUAUGGCGACACCAGAUGCCAAGAGUGCCAGGUUCUGCUCGACCGCGCGAAGGCGAGCUGAAUCCCAAGCAUUGAAGAAUUUUCUAAGGCAUGCAAAGGCUCACGAAGUCUCAAAGCCUGUUUAUGGCGAGACCAGAAGCCAAGCGUGCCAGGAUCUGCUCGACCGCGAGAAGGCGAGCAGAAUCCCAAGCAUUGAAGAAUUUUCUACGUCAUGCAAAGGCUCACAAAGUCUCAAAGCCUGUUUAUGGCGAGACCAGAAGCCAAGCGUACCAGGAUCAGCUCGACCGCACGAAGGCGAGCAGAAUCCCAAGCAUUGAAGAAUUUUCUAAGGCAUGCAAAGGCUCAUCAAGUCUCAAUGCCUGUUUAUGGCGAGACCAGAUGCCAAGCGGGCCAGAAUCUGCUCGACCGCGCGAAGGCGAGCAGAAUCCCAAGCAUUGAAGAAUUUUCUACGUCAUGCAAAGGCUCACAAAGUCUCAAAGCCUGUUUAUGGCGAGACCAGAAGCCAAGCGUGCCAGGAUCUGCUCGACCGCACGAAGGCGAGCAGAAUCCCAAGCAUUGAAGAAUUUUCUAAGGCAUGCAAAGGCUCAUCAAGUCUCAAAGCCUGUUUAUGGCGAGACCAGAUGCCAAGCGUGCCAGAAUCUGCUCGACCGCGCGAAGGCGAGCAGAAUCCCAAUCAUUGAAGAAUUUUCUAAGGCAUGCAAUGGCUCAUCAAGUUUCAAAGCCUUUUUAUGGCGACACCAGAUGCCAAGCGUGCCAGGAUCUGCUCGACCGCGCGAAGGCGAGCAGAAUCCCAAGCAGGGAAGAAUUUUCUACGUCAUGCAAAGGCUCACAAAGUCUCAAAGCCUGUUUAUGGCGAGACCAGAUGCCAAGGGUGCCAGAAUCUGCUCGACCGCACGAAGGCGAGCAGAAUCCCAAGCAUUGAAGAAUUUUCUAAGGCAUGCAAAGGCUCAUCAAGUCUCAAAGACUGUUUAUGACGAGACCAGAUGCCAAGGGUGCCAGAAUCUGCUCGACCGCACGAAGGCGAGCAGAAUCCCAAGCAUUGAAGAAUUUUCUAAGGCAUGCAAAGGCUCAUCAAGUCUCAAAGACUGUUUAUGGCGAGACCAGAAGCCAAANNNNNNNNNNNNNNNNNNNNNNNNNNNNNNNNNNNNNNNNNNNNNNNNNNNNNNNNNNNNNNNNNNNNNNNNNNNNNNNNNNNNNNNNNNNNNNNNNNNNNNNNNNNNNNNNNNNNNNNNNNNNNNNNNNNNNNNNNNNNNNNNNNNNNNNNNNNCAGAAUCCCAAGCAUUGAAGAAUUUUCUAAGGCAUGCAAAGGCUCAUCAAGUCUCACAGCCUGUUUAUGGCGAGACCAGAUGCCAAGGGUGCCAGAAUCUGCUCGACCGCACGAAGGCGAGCAGAAUCCCAAGCAUUGAAGAAUUUUCUAAGGCAUGCAAAGGCUCACGAAGUCUGAAAGCCUGUUUAUGGCGAGACCAGAAGCCAACUGUGUCAGGAUCUGCUCGACCGUGCGAAGGCGAGCGGAAUCCCAAGCAUUGAAGAAUUUUCUAAGGCAUGCAAGGGCUCAUCAAGUCUCAAAGCUUGUUUAUGGCUAGACCAGAUGCCAAGCGUGCCAGAAUCUGCGCGAUCGCGCGAAGGCGAGCAGAAUCCCAAGCAUUGAAGAAUUUUCUAACGCAUGCAAAGGUUCAUCAAGUCUCAAAGCAUGUUUAUGGCGAGACCAGAUGCCAAGCGUGCCAGGAAUCUGCUCGACCGCGCGAAGGCGAGCAGAAUCCCAAGUAUUGAAGAAUUUUCUAAGGCAUGCAAAGGCUCACGAAGUCUCAAAGCCUGUUUAUGGCGAGACCAGAAGCCAAGCGUGCCAGGAUCUGCUCGACCGCGCGAAGGCGAGCAGAAUCCCAAGCAUUGAAGAAUUUUCUAAGGCAUGCAAAGGCUCAUCAAGUCUCAAAGCCUGUUUAUGGCGAGACCAGAUGCCAAGCGUGCCAGGAUCUGCUCGACCGCGCGAAGCGAGCAGAAUCCCAAGCAUUGAAGAAUUUUCUAAGGCAUGCAAAGGCUCAUCAAGUCUCAAACCCUGUUUAUGGCGAGACCAGAAGGCAAGCGUGCCAGGAUCUGCUCGACCGCGCGAAGGCGAGCAGAAUCCCAAGCAUUGAAGAAUUUUCUAAGGCAUGCAAAGGCUCAUCAAGUCUCAAAGCCUGUUUAUGGCGAGACCAGAUGCCAAGUGUGUCAGGAUCUGCUCGACCGCGCGAAGGCGAGCGGAAUCCCAAGCAUUGAAGAAUUUUCUAAGGCAUGCAAAGGCUCAUCAAGUCUCAAAGCCUGUUUAUGGCGAGACCAGAUGCCAAGCGUGCCAGAAUCUGCUAGACCGCGCGAAGGCGACCAGAAUCCCAAGCAUUGAAGAAUUUUCUAAGGCAUGCAAAGGCUCAUCAAGUCUCAAAGCCUGUUUAUGGCGAGACCAGAAGCCAAGCGUGCCAGGAUCCGCUCGACCGCGCGAAGGCGAGCAGAAUACCAACCAUUGAAGAAUUUUCUAAGGCAUUCAAAGGCUCAUCAAGUUUCAAAGCCUGUUUAUGGCGACACCAGAUGCCAAGAGUGCCAGGUUCUGCUCGACCGCGCGAAGGCGAGCUGAAUCCCAAGCAUUGAAGAAUUUUCUAAGCAUGCAAAAGGCUCACAAAGUCUCAAAGCCUGUUUAUGGCGAGACCAGAAGCCAAGCGUGCCAGGAUCUGCUCGACCGCGCAAAGGCGAGCAGAAUACCAAGCAUUGAAGAAUUUCUUAAGGGAUGCAAAGGCUCAUCAAGUGUCAAAGCCUGUUUAUGGCCAGACCAGAUACCAAGGGUGCCAGAAUCUGCUCGACCGCGCGAAGGCGAGCAGGAUCCCAAGCAUUGAAGAAUUUUCUAAGGCAUGCAAUGGCUCAUCAAGUUUCAAAGCCUGUUUAUGGCGACACCAGAUGCCAAGCGUGCCAGGAUCUGCUCGACCGCGCGAGGGCGAGCAGAAUCCCAAGCAUUGAAGAAUUUUCUACGUCAUGCAAAGGCUCACAAAGUCUCAAAGCCUGUUUAUGGCGAGACCAGAAGCCAAGCGUACCAGGAUCUGCUCGACCGCACGAAGGCGAGCAGAAUCCCAAGCAUUGAAGAAUUUUCUAAGGCAUGCAAAGGCUCAUCAAGUCUCAAUGCCUGUUUAUGGCGAGACCAGAUGCCAAGCGGGCCAGAAUCUGCUCGACCGCGCGAAGGCGAGCAGAAUCCCAAGCAUUGAAGAAUUUUCUACGUCAUGCAAAGGCUCACAAAGUCUCAAAGCCUGUUUAUGGCGAGACCAGAAGCCAAGCGUGCCAGGAUCUGCUCGACCGCACGAAGGCGAGCAGAAUCCCAAGCAUUGAAGAAUUUUCUAAGGCAUGCAAAGGCUCAUCAAGUUUCAAAGCCUGUUUAUGGCGAGACCAGAUGCCAAGCGUGCCAGAAUCUGCUCGACCGCGCGAAGGCGAGCAGAAUCCCAAGCAUUGAGGAAUUUUCUAAGGCAUGCAAAGGCUCACGAAGUCUCGAAGCCUGUUUAUGGCGAGACCAGAAGCCAAGCGUGCCAGGAUCUGCUCGACCACGCGAAGGCGAGCAGAAUCCCAAGCAUUGAAGAAUUUUCUAAGGCAUGCAAAGGCUCAUCAAGUCUCAAAGCCUGUUUAUGGCGAGACCAGAUGCCAAGCGUGCCAGAAUCUGCUAGACCGCGCGAAGGCGACCAGAAUCCCAAGCAUUGAAGAAUUUUCUAAGGCAUGCAAAGGCUCAUCAAGUCUCAAAGCCUGUUUAUGGCGAGACCAGAUGCCAAGCGUGCCAGAAUCUGCUAGACCGCGCGAAGGCGACCAGAAUCCCAAGCAUUGAAGAAUUUUCUAAGGCAUGCAAAGGCUCAUCAAGUCUCAAAGCCUGUUUAUGGCGAGACCAGAAGCCAAGCGUGCCAGGAUCCGCUCGACCGCGCGAAGGCGAGCAGAAUACCAACCAUUGAAGAAUUUUCUAAGGCAUUCAAAGGCUCAUCAAGUUUCAAAGCCUGUUUAUGGCGACACCAGAUGCCAAGAGUGCCAGGAUCUGCUCGACCGCGCGAAGGCGAGCUGAAUCCCAAGCAUUGAAGAAUUUUCUAAGGCAUGCAAAGGCUCACGAAGUCUCAAAGCCUGUUUAUGGCGAGACCAGAAGCCAAGCGUGCCAGGAUCUGCUCGACCGCGAGAAGGCGAGCAAAAUCCCAAGCAUUGAAGAAUUUUCUACGUCAUGCAAAGGCUCACAAAGUCUCAAAGCCUGUUUAUGGCGAGACCAGAAGCCAAGCGUACCAGGAUCAGCUCGACCGCACGAAGGCGAGCAGAAUCCCAAGCAUUGAAGAAUUUN